UUGAACGCUGGCGGCAUGCUUUACACAUGCAAGUCGAACGGCAGCGGGGGCUUCGGCCUGCCGGCGAGUGGCGAACGGGUGAGUAAUGCAUCGGAACGUACCCAGUCGUGGGGGAUAACUACGCGAAAGCGUAGCUAAUACCGCAUACGACCUGAGGGUGAAAGCGGGGGAUCGCAAGACCUCGCGCGAUAGGAGCGGCCGAUAUCGGAUUAGCUAGUUGGUGAGGUAAAGGCUCACCAAGGCGACGAUCCGUAGCUGGUCUGAGAGGACGACCAGCCACACUGGAACUGAGACACGGUCCAGACUCCUACGGGAGGCAGCAGUGGGGAAUUUUGGACAAUGGGGGAAACCCUGAUCCAGCCAUUCCGCGUGAGUGAAGAAGGCCUUCGGGUUGUAAAGCUCUUUCGGCAGGAACGAAACGGUAAGGGCUAAUAUCCUUUGCUAAUGACGGUACCUGAAGAAGAAGCACCGGCUAACUACGU
rnacentral:rRNA from 1 species